UACGGAGGGUGCGAGCGUUGUUCGGAAUUACUGGGCGUAAAGGGCUCGUAGGUGGCCAACUAAGUCAGACGUGAAAUCCCUCGGCUUAACCGGGGAACUGCGUCUGAUACUGGAUGGCUUGAGUUCGGGAGAGGGAUGCGGAAUUCCAGGUGUAGCGGUGAAAUGCGUAGAUAUCUGGAGGAACACCGGUGGCGAAGGCGGCAUCCUGGACCGGCACUGACACUGAGGAGCGAAAGCCAGGGGAGCAAACGGG
rnacentral:rRNA from 1 species